rnacentral:tRNA from 1 species
CAAAUUAGAACUUGUUGAGAUAAGUAUUUCAUUUACAUUGAAAAAAAGUUGUGCAAAUCAAUAUAGUUUGA